GACGUAGGGCGCGAGCGUUGUCCGGAUUUAUUGGGCGUAAAGAGCUCGUAGGCGGCUUGUCGCGUCGUUCGUGAAAACCUGGGGCUCAACCCCAGGCUUGCGGUCGAUACGGGCAGGCUGGAGUUCGGUAGGGGAGACUGGAAUUCCUGGUGUAGCGGUGAAAUGCGCAGAUAUCAAGAGGAACACCUGCGGCGAAGGCGGGUUGCUGGGCUGACACUGACGCUGAAGCGCGAAAGCCAGGGGAGCGAACGGG
rnacentral:rRNA from 1 species